GACGAACGCUGGCGGCGUGCUUAACACAUGCAAGUCGAACGCUGAAGCCUGGCUUUUGUUGGGUGGAUGAGUGGCGAACGGGUGAGUAACACGUGAGUAACCUGCCCCCUUCUUUGGGAUAACGCCCGGAAACGGGUGCUAAUACCGGAUAUUCACUGGUCUUCGCAUGGGGGUUGGUGGAAAGGGUUUUCUGGUGGGGGAUGGGCUCGCGGCCUAUCAGCUUGUUGGUGGGGUGAUGGCCUACCAAGGCUUUGACGGGUAGCCGGCCUGAGAGGGUGACCGGUCACAUUGGGACUGAGAUACGGCCCAGACUCCUACGGGAGGCAGCAGUGGGGAAUAUUGCACAAUGGGCGCAAGCCUGAUGCAGCGACGCCGCGUGAGGGAUGGAGGCCUUCGGGUUGUGAACCUCUUUCGCUCAUGGUCAAGCCGCAACAAUGGUUGUGGUGAGGGUAGUGGGUAAAGAAGCGCCGGCUAACUACGUGCCAGCAGCCGCGGUAAUACGUAGGGCGCGAGCGUUGUCCGGAAUUAUUGGGCGUAAAGGGCUUGUAGGCGGUUGGUCGCGUCUGCCGUGAAAUCCUCUGGCUUAACUGGGGGCGUGCGGUGGGUACGGGCUGACUUGAGUGCGGUAGGGGAGACUGGAACUCCUGGUGUAGCGGUGGAAUGCGCAGAUAUCAGGAAGAACACCGGUGGCGAAGGCGGGUCUCUGGGCCGUUACUGACGCUGAGGAGCGAAAGCGUGGGGAGCGAACAGG
rnacentral:rRNA from 1 species